AAAACAUGACUUUGAUCUGCGUCCUCAUCUGGACUCUCCUCUGCUGCUGCUUCACAGAGUCCAGAGGACAAUAUACACUGACUCAGCCUGGAGCAGUGAGCUCUGCUGUGGGAGACACAGUCACCAUCAAGUGUAGGACGAGUUACAAUGUUUAUAGCUCCAACCGUUUAGCCUGGUACCAACAGAAAGAUGGAGAAACUCCUAAACUGCUCAUUUACCGUGCUAGCACGCAAGUAUCAGGGAUCUCAGAUCGUUUUAAUGCCAGUGGUUUAGACUCUGACUUCACUCUGACCAUCAGUGGAGUCCAGGCUGAAGAUGCAGCAGUUUAUUACUGUCAGAGUUUUCACUGGCCUGUCAGUCAGCGUGUGUUCACACAGUGAAAAACAGUCGUACAAAAACCUCCCUCAGUCAGACUGAACCGAAACUGAACUGACUGCUGCAGCUGGAAGAUACUGCAGAGACUGAUACAGUUCACUGAGGACACACACACACACACACACACACACGCACACACACACAUACACACACACACACACACAAAUCUUUGCCAUCUCCUUUAAGGACACAAAUCUACAAGUUUCUAUACAGAGAGCAGUACCAGGGAUUUAAAUGAAAGCACUCAAGAAGGUACAUUCGGCACCGCGAUCAAUUGUUCUUUGUUGUUGCUCACUUAAUUAUGUAAAAGAGUAGAAAUUUUGAAGGUCAUGAGAUAAAAUCCACUGAACUUCUGACUUUCACAUUUCUACCCCUUUACAUAAUUGACAUUUAAACACAAAGGGAGUAACUGUUGGACACUUUGACUACAAGGACAUUUGUAUCUAGUUAUUUACUUUGUGUUAUAGUAUCGGGCUUUUGACAGUCAGUAGGCUGGCCUUGUGUUCUUGUUGCCUGUCUCUUUCAGGUAUCUAGCAGGUCAGAUGCAGCACACCUGAGCAGGUGUGAGCCUGGUCCAGGUGUAAUAUAAAGCAACUGAUUGAACCUCUGCUCGCUCCUUUGGUUUCUCCUUACUCUUGUGGAUGCUGCUUGGCUGAUCAAGAAUUUGGUUUUGUCCUGGUGUGGUGCAUUCAGUCAUAAAACUCAGUCUGCUUUUGGGUUUCUCUACAUUAUUCCAUUAAAAUAUCUUAUUGCCUUC